rnacentral:rRNA from 1 species
AUUGAACGCUGGCGGCAUGCUUUACACAUGCAAGUCGAACGGCAGCGCGGGCUUCGGCCUGGCGGCGAGUGGCGAACGGGUGAGUAAUACAUCGGAACGUGCCCAGUAGUGGGGGAUAGCUCGGCGAAAGCCGGAUUAAUACCGCAUACGACCUGAGGGUGAAAGCGGGGGAUUUUCGGACCUCGCGCUAUUGGAGCGGCCGAUGGCAGAUUCGCUAGUUGGUGGGGUAAAGGCCUACCAAGGCGACGAUCUGUAGCUGGUCUGAGAGGACGACCAGCCACACUGGGACUGAGACACGGCCCAGACUCCUACGGGAGGCAGCAGUGGGGAAUUUUGGACAAUGGGCGAAAGCCUGAUCCAGCAAUGCCGCGUGUGUGAUGAAGGCCUUCGGGUUGUAAAGCACUUUUGGCGGGAACGAAAAGGACUGUGCCAAUACCACGGUUCGAUGACGGUACCCGCAGAAUAAGCACCGGCUAACUACGUG